UUCUUCAUGAGUGGAUCGGAGUCUCCAGAUUCUCAAAGUCUCAGAAAUAUCUUUCAAAAUAAGAUUUAUCAUCAGUUACUUCUUUGAUUCACAGACACCGGUUCUGGAUGUGGUGACCCCCUGAGAGGUGAGAUAACAGUCUGUCAGCCCUGGGAAAGCAUAACCAGAGGCAUAACCAGAGGCUUUCUGCUCCAUCCAGAAAUGCUGCUGUAAUUAUCAGACAUUUUGUUGGUUGUCCUCCACCCUGUUCUCCACCUGGAGCGAAGCUUUGGAAGGUCUGGACUCUAACCAUGGUUAUACAUCCGUGGUCAGAGUUCAUUCCAAGCACACCAGGCAUCUGCAGCCUAAAAACGUCAAAAAUGUUAAAACUUUAUUCAUUCACAUUUUUCUGUAACACUUUUUUACCCACAAUCCUAAUAUUUUUCCUUGUUAGAAUAUUUUCUGUUAUAUUAUGUGUGCUACUCUUGGCAAAAAAAAAAAAAAAUCUAUUGUUUAACAAAGUUAAAUGUUGUUCAUCCAAGUCAAAAAUAAGGUCAAAUAAAAUCCUAAAUAAAAUUCCGUUAGGCUUGUAGAAUCAGCAUUCAGCUCACGCUAAAUAAUAAAAAGCAAGAACAAUGCAAUGGCGCUGCUGCUGUUAAUUAUGUGCUGAUGUAAUGUCACGUCACAUUUGUUUGUUAAUGUUGCAUGGCGGAAAACGAUGUGGUUUGAUUUGACUUCAUCAAGCUGUUACUGAUCUGCAUCCUGAAAUGAUCGACUGACUUUUAAAGCCCUUCCUGAAGUUCCUGAAACUCCAGCUCCCGUGUCAAACACCGGAAUUAAAUUUGGUUUAAAAAAUAUAUUUUAAAAAUUAUAGAAUUUUUUUUUUUUUGACACCAAAGAGUAAUCAAUUACUGCAAUUGGUUGGCUUGGCUUAAGGUAAUGUUUCUUUUAACUUCUAUAUCUCUGGAACAGUUUAAAUCACAAAGUUCCAAGAUUAUUUUGCAAUAAAUUGAUGAAACAAAAAGUGUGGUUAAUUUGGACUCAUAUUUUUAAUGGUUCACUUUAAUUAUUUAUUUAUUUAUUGUCUUUUUUUUCAAAACUGACAUUGGAUAUUUUUAUAUGGACGCCUCACUGGAACUGUUACAGCUUGCUUUGAAUGCUUAAAAAUGUUUGUUUUACAAGUUUAGAAGCCUAUUCUAAAUGUUAGCAGGUUAAAAACAAAGUUCUCCAAGAAAUUCAGAACCAUCAAAAAGAUAUAAAUUCAUAUAAUUAGUUUGUUGCAU